GACGAACCGAGCGAACGUUGUUCGGAAUCACUGGGCUUAAAGGGCGCGUAGGCGGGUUCGCAAGUCUGUGGUGAAAUCCUCCGGCUCAACCGGAGAACUGCCUCGGAUACUGCGGGUCUCGAGGGUGAUGAGGGGUAUGCGGAACUAUCGGUGGAGCGGUGAAAUGCGUUGAUAUCGAUAGGAACUCCGGUGGCGAAGGCGGCAUACUGGAUCACUUCUGACGCUGAGGCGCGAAAGCCAGGGGAGCAAACGGG
rnacentral:rRNA from 1 species